GAGGAAUAUUGCGCAAUGGGCGAAAGCCUGACGCAGCAACGCCGCGUGAGGGACGAAGGCCUUCGGGUCGUAAACCUCUUUUCUGGGGAAAGAGACAGGACGGUACCUCAGGAAUAAGUCUCGGCUAACUACGUGCCAGCAGCCGCGGUAAAACGUAGGAGGCGAGCGUUAUCCGGAUUUACUGGGCGUAAAGAGCACGCAGGCGGCUUCGUAAGUCGGAUGUGAAAGCUCCCGGCUUAACUGGGAGAGGCCAUUCGAUACUACGAGGCUUGAGGUUGGGAGAGGGGUGUGGAAUUCCCGGUGUAGUGGUGGAAUGCGUAGAUAUCGGGAGGAACACCUGUGGCGAAAGCGGCACCCUGGCCCACACCUGACGCUGAGGUGCGAAAGCGUGGGGAGCAAAC
rnacentral:rRNA from 1 species